CCUAACACAUGCAAGUCGAGCGGUAACAGAAAGUAGCUUGCUACUUUGCUGACGAGCGGCGGACGGGUGAGUAAUGCUUGGGAACAUGCCUUGAGGUGGGGGACAACAGUUGGAAACGACUGCUAAUACCGCAUAAUGUCUACGGACCAAAGGGGGCUUCGGCUCUCGCCUUUAGAUUGGCCCAAGUGGGAUUAGCUAGUUGGUGAGGUAAUGGCUCACCAAGGCAACGAUCCCUAGCUGGUUUGAGAGGAUGAUCAGCCACACUGGAACUGAGACACGGUCCAGACUCCUACGGGAGGCAGCAGUGGGGAAUAUUGCACAAUGGGCGAAAGCCUGAUGCAGCCAUGCCGCGUGUGUGAAGAAGGCCUUCGGGUUGUAAAGCACUUUCAGUCAGGAGGAAAGGGUGUGAGUUAAUACCUCACAUCUGUGACGUUACUGACAGAAGAAGCACCGGCUAACUCCGUGCCAGCAGCCGCGGUAAUACGGAGGGUGCGAGCGUUAAUCGGAAUUACUGGGCGUAAAGCGUACGCAGGCGGUUUGUUAAGCGAGAUGUGAAAGCCCCGGGCUCAACCUGGGAACUGCAUUUCGAACUGGCAAACUAGAGUGUGAUAGAGGGUGGUAGAAUUUCAGGUGUAGCGGUGAAAUGCGUAGAGAUCUGAAGGAAUACCGAUGGCGAAGGCAGCCACCUGGGUCAACACUGACGCUCAUGUACGAAAGCGUGGGGAGCAAACGGGAUUAGAUACCCCGGUAGUCC
rnacentral:rRNA from 1 species